rnacentral:rRNA from 1 species
CGGGACGGGUGAGUAAUGUCUGGGAAACUGCCUGAUGGAGAGGGAUAACUACUGGAAACGGUAGCUAAUACCGCAUAACGUCGCAAGACCAAAGAGGGGGACCUUAGGGCCUCUUGCCAUCGGAUGUGCCCAGAUGGGAUUAGCUAGUAGGUGGGGUAACGGCUCACCUAGGCGACGAUCCCUAGCUGGUCUGAGAGGAUGACCAGCCACACUGGAACUGAGACACGGUCCAG